rnacentral:rRNA from 1 species
UACGUAGGGGGCUAGCGUUGUCCGGAAUCAUUGGGCGUAAAGCGCGUGUAGGCGGUCCGGUAAGUCCGCUGUGAAAGUCGAGGGCUCAACCCUCGAAUGCCGGUGGAUACUGUCGGGCUUGAGUACGGGAGAGGCGAGUGGAAUUCCUGGUGUAGCGGUGAAAUGCGCAGAUAUCAGGAGGAACACCGAUUGCGAAGGCAGCUCGCUGGAACGUUACUGACGCUGAGACGCGAAAGUGUGGGGAGCGAACAGG